rnacentral:rRNA from 1 species
GAUGAACGCUGGCGGCGUGCCUAAUACAUGCAAGUCGAGCGAACAGACAAGGAGCUUGCUCCUCUGACGUUAGCGGCGGACGGGUGAGUAACACGUGGAUAACCUACCUAUAAGACUGGGAUAACUUCGGGAAACCGGAGCUAAUACCGGAUAAUAUAUUGAACCGCAUGGUUCAAUAGUGAAAGACGGUUUUGCUGUCACUUAUAGAUGGAUCCGCGCCGCAUUAGCUAGUUGGUAAGGUAACGGCUUACCAAGGCAACGAUGCGUAGCCGACCUGAGAGGGUGAUCGGCCACACUGGAACUGAGACACGGUCCAGACUCCUACGGGAGGCAGCAGUAGGGAAUCUUCCGCAAUGGGCGAAAGCCUGACGGAGCAACGCCGCGUGAGUGAUGAAGGUCUUCGGAUCGUAAAACUCUGUUAUUAGGGAAGAACAAAUGUGUAAGUAACUAUGCACGUCUUGGCGGUACCUAAUCAGAAAGCCACGGCUAACUACGUG